UGUAUCUGAAGUCUGACGAGGAUGAGAACCUCCGGGGGCAAGAGGUUCGACUCGAGCGAAGCGAGAGAACGUUGCGUCAGCAACGGCCCGCAGAG
rnacentral:sRNA from 1 species